rnacentral:rRNA from 1 species
UGGGGAAUUUUUNGACAAUGGGGGAAACCNUGAUCCAGCAAUNCCGCGUNUGCGAAGAAGGCCUUCGGGUUGUAAAGCACUUUUGUCAGGGAAGAAAUCCUUUGGGCUAAUACCCUAGGGGGAUGACGGUACCUGAAGAAUAAGCACCGGCUAACUACGUGCCAGCAGCCNCCCNAAUACGUAGGGUGCAAGCGUUAAUCGGAAUUACUGGGCGUAAAGCGUGCGCAGGCGGUUGUGUAAGACAGGUGUGAAAUCCCCGGGCUUAACCUGGGAAUUGCAUUUGUGACUGCACGACUAGAGUGUGUCAGAGGGGGGUGGAAUUCCACGUGUAGCAGUGAAAUGCGUAGAUAUGUGGAGGAACACCAAUGGCGAAGGCAGCCCCCUGGGAUAACACUGACGCUCAUNCCCGNAAGCGUGGGGAGCAAACAGGAUUAGAUACCCUGGUAGUCCACGCCCUAAACGAUGUCAACUAGUUGUUGGGGAUUUACUUCCUUGGUAACGUAGCUAACGCGUGAAGUUGACCGCCUGGGGAGUACGGCCGCAAGGUUG